rnacentral:rRNA from 1 species
AUAGCUGGUUCUCCCCGAAAUAGCUUUAGGGCUAGCCUUAAGUGUAAGAGUCUUGGAGGUAGAGCACUGAUUGGACUAGGGGUCCUCAUCGGAUUACCGAAUUCAGUCAAACUCCGAAUGCCAAUGACUUAUCCUUAGGAGUCAGACUGCGAGUGAUAAGAUCCGUAGUCAAGAGGGAAACAGCCCAGAUCGCCAGCUAAGGUCCCAAAGUGUGUAUUAAGUGGAAAAGGAUGUGGAGUUGCUUAGACAACUAGGAUGUUGGCUUAGAAGCA